UACGGAGGGUGCGAGCGUUGUCCGGAAUCACUGGGCGUAAAGGGCGCGUAGGCGGCAUGCCAAGCGUGUGGUGAAAGCCCGGGGCUCAACCCCGGGUCGGCCGUGCGGACUGGCGUGCUCGAGCACUGUAGGGGCGGGUGGAAGUUCCGGGUGUAGCGGUGGGAAUGCGUAGAGGAUCCGGAAGAACACCGGUGGCGAAGGCGGCCCGCUGGGCAGGAAGACACCGCAAGGUGUCGGCUGACGCUGAGGCGCGACAGCGUGGGGAGCAAACAGG
rnacentral:rRNA from 1 species